AUUGAACGCUGGCGGAAUGCUUUACACAUGCAAGUCGAACGGCAGCACGGGUGCUUGCACCUGGUGGCGAGUGGCGAACGGGUGAGUAACAUAUCGGAACGUAUCCAAUAAUGGGGGAUAACUAAUCGAAAGGUUGGCUAAUACCGCAUACGCCCUACGGGGGAAAGCUAGGGACCUUCGGGCCUGGCGUUAAUGGAGCGGCCGAUAUCGGAUUAGCUAGUUGGUGGGGGAAUGGCCUACCAAGGCGACGAUCAGUAGCUGGUCUGAGAGGACGACCAGCCACACUGGAACUGAGACACGGUCCAGACUCCUACGGGAGGCAGCAGUGGGGAAUUUUGGACAAUGGGCGCAAGCCUGAUCCAGCCAUUCCGCGUGAGUGAAGAAGGCCUUCGGGUUGUAAAGCUCUUUCGCAAGGGAAGAAAACUUAUCCUCUAACAUAGGAUGAGGUUGACGGUACCUUGAUAAGAAGCACCGGCUAACUACGUGCCAGCAGCCGCCGCCGUAA
rnacentral:rRNA from 1 species